GAUGAACGCUAGCUACAGGCUUAACACAUGCAAGUCGAGGGGCAGCAUGGUCUUAGCUUGCUAAGGCCGAUGGCGACCGGCGCACGGGUGAGUAACACGUAUCCAACCUGCCGUCUACUCUUGGACAGCCUUCUGAAAGGAAGAUUAAUACAAGAUGGCAUCAUGAGUCCGCAUGUUCACAUGAUUAAAGGUAUUCCGGUAGACGAUGGGGAUGCGUUCCAUUAGAUAGUAGGCGGGGUAACGGCCCACCUAGUCUUCGAUGGAUAGGGGUUCUGAGAGGAAGGUCCCCCACAUUGGAACUGAGACACGGUCCAAACUCCUACGGGAGGCAGCAGUGAGGAAUAUUGGUCAAUGGGCGAGAGCCUGAACCAGCCAAGUAGCGUGAAGGAUGACUGCCCUAUGGGUUGUAAACUUCUUUUAUAAAGGAAUAAAGUCGGGUAUGGAUACCCGUUUGCAUGUACUUUAUGAAUAAGGAUCGGCUAACUCCGUGCCAGCAGCCGCGGUAAUACGGAGGAUCCGAGCGUUAUCCGGAUUUAUUGGGUUUAAAGGGAGCGUAGAUGGAUGUUUAAGUCAGUUGUGAAAGUUUGCGGCUCAACCGUAAAAUUGCAGUUGAUACUGGAUAUCUUGAGUGCAGUUGAGGCAGGCGGAAUUCGUGGUGUAGCGGUGAAAUGCUUAGAUAUCACGAAGAACUCCGAUUGCGAAGGCAGCCUGCUAAGCUGCAACUGACAUUGAGGCUCGAAAGUGUGGGUAUCAAACAGGAUUAGAUACCCUGGUAGUCCACACGGUAAACGAUGAAUACUCGCUGUUUGCGAUAUACUGCAAGCGGCCAAGCGAAAGCGUUAAGUAUUCCACCUGGGGAGUACGCCGGCAACGGCGAGACUCAAAGGAAUUGACGGGGGCCCGCACAAGCGGAGGAACAUGUGGUUUAAUUCGAUGAUACGCGAGGAACCUUACCCGGGCUUAAAUUGCAGAUGAAUUACGGUGAAAGCCGUAAGCCGCAAGGCAUCUGUGAAGGUGCUGCAUGGUUGUCGUCAGCUCGUGCCGUGAGGUGUCGGCUUAAGUGCCAUAACGAGCGCAACCCUUGUUGUCAGUUACUAACAGGUUCCGCUGAGGACUCUGACAAGACUGCCAUCGUAAGAUGUGAGGAAGGUGGGGAUGACGUCAAAUCAGCACGGCCCUUACGUCCGGGGCUACACACGUGUUACAAUGGGGGGUACAGAGGGCCGCUACCACGCGAGUGGAUGCCAAUCCCCAAAACCUCUCUCAGUUCGGACUGGAGUCUGCAACCCGACUCCACGAAGCUGGAUUCGCUAGUAAUCGCGCAUCAGCCACGGCGCGGUGAAUACGUUCCCGGGCCU
rnacentral:rRNA from 1 species